ensembl:lncRNA
CCUCCCUGCAGCUUGGCGGCUGUUCCCUGGGUCUGUUUCUGUGUGUUACUGGGGAGCCCACACCUGGACACUGUGGUCUCACCAGAGCUGAGCAGAGGGGAAUGGAACGAUGACCUCGAGCUGCUGGCAGCGCUCCUCCUCACACAGCCCAGGGAUGAGCAAUGCUCAGUGACAGCCGAGGCAGAAGAGCUGUGCAGUGCCUCAGCUGCUCCCCACCAGCACUUUCCAUCCCCGUGCCGUCCCCAGGAUCCUUGGUCACUUCCAAUCCGCUUGCAGGACCUUGACAUCUCACAUACUGCUGGCAAGGUCUCAACGUCUUGUGUUCCGACAGGGGAAGACAUGGAUGCCUUGAGAAAUGCCAGCAGGACUCAAUGCAGGUUGUCUGUAGCAGUGAGAAAGCUGAAAGACAGUCACUGCCAGCAUACCAGGAGCAAUCUUCCAUCUCCAGUAUCUCCUCUCUACCACUUCAUUUUUAUAACAGAUGCAUUUCCCUCCUUCUCACAUUAAACCAUGCAAUGGCUCACACUAUCUUACUUGUAGAAAUGAAAAGCUACUAUAACCUUUCCCUA